AGCAAGUUAACAGCUAUUUUUUCUUGCUUGUUGGCUGAAGAGUUACACUGACAGUGAAUCCAGCAUAGCUGGGGAAGGAGGGACAAGUGCUCCCUGAGCUCUGAGCUUAGAUGGAAGCUCAGGUUAGGAGUUUCCUGAUUUAAAUUGAGUUGUGCAACAACCCCAUCCUACAGUUUUAGGGGAUAACUUUCUGGAGUCCAGCAGCAAGGGUCCACCUCCAAGGUGGGGAUGAAAAAGCUUGAAAAGGAAGGGAAGGAGAUUCUGGAAAACCCAGGUUUCUUAGAGAGCUUCAAAUCCACAUGUUAAUGAACUAUGGGAACGCAGUUUUGCUCAGGGCGCACAUCAUAACAACCAUUGCUGAAGUGGGACACCAGGGAAUCACACACAGAACUGCUGGCAGAUGCUUCUGGUGAGAUUUAUUCAGCAACUCUCCCAUCUUCUGGUAUAGCAUUGCUAGUGCUGGCCUUGGAUGAUCCUUGCCCAUCACAGCCAAGGAAACACCUAGCAACAGUAACACAAGUGGCUGCAUUUCCUGAUUCUGGAUUAAGUUCAAGAUUUCAAAUACGACUGGGCUCGUUUCUGAUUAGAAAGUUUGAUAUUUAUCACAGACUUACCUGUCUUCCAUAUCCAGUGUGAGUGAGAUUGUAAAAAGGCUCACAAAGUCUAAGAGAAGUAAAAUAAUGCCACUUGUGAUCUUGGAAGGGCAACAGCCUGGACGGGCAUGGGAUACAGUGGCAAGGCACGCAGCAAGAGCUGGAUUGUAUUCUCUGCUGUGGGGGACAUGGAGAUGGCUGGGAGUGGAAUAAGGGGUCUCUAGGUCCCACCUUGCAUCCUGCAUCAGAGCAACAGCACCAGUGGAGAUACUCCCACAGCUUUAAACAGCCCACUUAGUUGUGCCAGAUAAGCACAACACAGAGCAGCAAGAGUAUCUAUCGUGAUAAAUAAAGAUGGAC